CAUGUCUUUUUGAUUAUAAUUUAAAGUCUAACCUGCCCUAUGAUUAUAGAUUGAAUGGCCGCGAUAUUUUGAUCGUGCAAAGGUAGCAUAAUAAUUAGUUUUUUAAUUGAGAACUGGUAUGAAUGGUUGGACGAGAGAAAAACUGUCUCAAUUUAAUUUUAUUAGAAUUUUAUUUUUAAGUAAAAAAGCUUAAAUAUAUUUAAAAGACGAGAAGACCCUAUAGAGUUUUAUAUAAUUUUUAUUUUUAAUUAUUAAGAAUUAUUAAUUUAUUAGUAGAGGUUGUAUUUAGUUGGGGUGACUAAAAAAUUUAAUUAACUUUUUUUAAAUAAAUUAAACAUUGAUUUAUGAUUAAAUGAUCCAUAAAGAUAUGAUUAAAAGAUUAAAUUACCUUAGGGAUAACAGCGUAAUUUUUUUUAAGAGUUCUAAUCGAAAAAAAAGUUUGCGACC
rnacentral:rRNA from 1 species